rnacentral:rRNA from 1 species
UUGGAGGGCAAGUCUGGUGCCAGCAGCCGCGGUAAUUCCAGCUCCAAUAGCGUAUAUUAAAGUUGUUGCAGUUAAAAAGCUCGUAGUUGAGUUUCGGGAUCAAUAUUUCGGUCAUGCCGUUGGCAUGCACUGUUAUCAUUGAUUUCUCACCUUCUAAAGAACCGUAAUGCCAUUAAUUUGGUGUUACGGGGAAUUAGGACUGUUACCUUGAAAAAAUUAGAGUGUUUAAAGCAGGCUCACGCUUGAAUACAUUAGCAUGGAAUAAUGAAAUAGGACAUCCGAUUCUAUUUUGUUGGUUUCUAGGAUCGAUGUAAUGAUUAAUAGGGAUAGUUGGGGGCAUUAGUAUUCAAUUGUCAGAGGUGAAAUUCUUGGAUUUAUUGAAGACUAACUACUGCGAAAGCAUUUGCCAAGGAUGUUUUCAUUAAUCAAGAACGAAAGUUAGGGGAUCGAAGACGAUCAGAUACCGUCGUAGUCUUAACCAUAAACUAUGCCGACUAGGGAUCGGAUGAUGUUAAUUUUUUAAUGACUCAUUCGGCGCCUUACGGGAAAC